GAGUUUGAUUCUGGCUCAGGAUGAACGCUGGCGGCGUGCCUAACACAUGCAAGUCGAACGGAGAACUUAAGUGGAAGUUUUCGGAUGGAAGCUUUUGUUCUUAGUGGCGGACGGGUGAGUAACGCGUGGGCAACCUGCCUCAUACAGGGGGACAACAGACGGAAACGUCUGCUAAGACCGCAUACGUCUUUUUGGUCGCAUGACUGAGAAGGGAAAAGAGCAAUCUGGUAUGAGAUGGGCCCGCGUCUGAUUAGCUAGUUGGUAAGGUAACGGCUUACCAAGGCAACGAUCAGUAGCCGGACUGAGAGGUCGGACGGCCACAUUGGGACUGAGACACGGCCCAAACUCCUACGGGAGGCAGCAGUGGGGGAUAUUGCACAAUGGAGGAAACUCUGAUGCAGCGACGCCGCGUGAGUGAAGAAGUAUUUCGGUAUGUAAAGCUCUAUCAGCCAGGGAAGAUGAUGACGUACCU
rnacentral:rRNA from 1 species